rnacentral:SRP_RNA from 1 species
GCCGGGCGUGGUGGCAGGCGCCUGUAAUCCCAGCUACUUGGGAGGCUGAGGCAGGAGAAUUGCUUGAGUCCAGGAGACGGAGGUUGCAGUGAGCCAAGCUCGUGCCACUGCACUCCAGCCUGACCAACAGAGCGAUACUCUGUCUCAA